rnacentral:lncRNA from 1 species
GCGAAGUUUGUUAUCCAUCUUCUUCGACCUUUUUGUUAAAUGACAAACUCUCUUCCUCAAAUGUUGGAUCGUGGACUUCAGUGGAACUCUCUGUGGCAAGGGAAGCACUUCGGCAGGACACUGCCAUCGGGGGACAAAAGCGUCAAGGCGUGACUCAUUGCAGAAAGAAAAAAGAAAAGAGUAGAGAAACCUCCCAUAAGGAGAAACCCAAUUUUAUUGAUUGAAUAUUUCUUAAAGACAAAAGGGA